GCACAACGCGAAGAACCUUACCAAGGCUUGACAUACACGAGAACACUCUGGAAACAGGGGACUCUUUGGACACUCGUGAACAGGUGGUGCAUGGUUGUCGUCAGCUCGUGUCGUGAGAUGUUGGGGUUAAGUCCCGCAACGAGCGCAACCCUCGUUCUAUGUUGCCAGCACGUUAUGGUGGGAACUCAUGGGAUACUGCCGGGGUCAACUCGGAGGAAGGUGGGGAUGACGUCAAAUCAUCAUGCCCCUUAUGUCUUGGGCUUCACGCAUGCUACAAUGGCCGGUACAAAGGGCUGCAAUACCGUGAGGUGGAGCGAAUCCCAAAAAGCCGGUCCCAGUUCGGAUUGAGGUCUGCAACUCGACCUCAUGAAGUCGGAGUCGCUAGUAAUCGCAGAUCAGCAACGCUGCGGUGAAUACGUUCCCGGGUCUUGUACACACCG
rnacentral:rRNA from 1 species